rnacentral:rRNA from 1 species
GAUGAACGCUGGCGGCGUGCCUAAUACAUGCAAGUAGAACGCUGAAGGAAGGAGCUUGCUCUUUCCGGAUGAGUUGCGAACGGGUGAGUAACGCGUAGGUAACCUGCCUGGUAGCGGGGGAUAACUAUUGGAAACGAUAGCUAAUACCGCAUAACAGUAGAUGUUGCAUGAUAUCUACUUAAAAGGUGCAAUUGCACCACUACCAGAUGGACCUGCGUUGUAUUAGCUAGUUGGUGAGGUAACGGCUCACCAAGGCGACGAUACAUAGCCGACCUGAGAGGGUGAUCGGCCACACUGGGACGGGGACACGGCCCAGACUCCUACGGGAGGCAGCAGUAGGGAAUCUUCGGCAAGGGACGGAAGUCUGACCGAGCAACGCCGCGUGAGUGAAGAAGGUUUUCGGAUCGUAAAGCUCUGUUGUAAGAGAAGAACGAGUGUGAGAGUGGAAAGUUCACACUGUGACGGUAUCUUACCAGAAAGGGACGGCUAACUACGUG